rnacentral:miRNA from 1 species
ACUUGGUCGACAAUUUAAUAGUA